rnacentral:rRNA from 1 species
GACGUAGGGCGCAAGCGUUGUCCGGAAUUACUGGGCGUAAAGAGCUCGUAGGUGGUUUGUCGCGUUGUUCGUGAAAACUCACAGCUCAACUGUGGGCGUGCGGGCGAUACGGGCAGACUGGAGUACUGCAGGGGAGACUGGAAUUCCUGGUGUAGCGGUGAAAUGCGCAGAUAUCAGGAGGAACACCGGUGGCGAAGGCGGGUCUCUGGGUAGUAACUGACGCUGAGGAACGAAAGCGUGGGUAGCGAACAGG